rnacentral:rRNA from 1 species
UACGUAGGGGGCAAGCGUUGUCCGGAAUUAUUGGGCGUAAAGCGCGCGCAGGCGGUCUCUUAAGUCUGAUGUGAAAGCCCACGGCUCAACCGUGGAGGGUCAUUGGAAACUGGGAGACUUGAGUGUAAGAGAGGAAAGUGGAAUUCCAUGUGUAGCGGUGAAAUGCGUAGAUAUAUGGAGGAACACCAGUGGCGAAGGCGACUUUCUGGCUUACAACUGACGCUGAGGCGCGAAAGCGUGGGGAGCAAACAGG